CACAGAAAUCUCACGCUUAGCCAAAAAAGCUGAUAGCUGCUGGGAGAGGGAAAAUGAGUUUUAUUUAAUGGAGUGUCACCAUCACCCACACUCCAGGUCACCAUCACCCACACUCCAGGUCACCAUCACCCACACUCCAGGGUCACCAUCACCCACACUCCAGGUCACCAUCACCCACACUCCAGGUCACCAUCACCCACACUCCAGGUCACCAUCACCCACACUCCAGGUCACCAUCACCCACACUCCAAAGUCACCAUCACCCACACUCCAGGUCACCAUCACCCACACUCCAGGUCACCAUCACUCACACUCCAGGUCACCAUCACUCACACUCCAGGUCACCAUCACCCACACUCCAGGUCACCAUCACACACACUCCAGGUCACCAUCACCCACACUCCAGUGGCAUUGUCACCCAUACUUCAGACAAGCUGCAUACUUAAGAACUCCAUGGUUUGAGGUGUUUGUGUGUGUGUGUGUGUGCGUGCGUGCGUGUG
ensembl:lncRNA